rnacentral:rRNA from 1 species
GGAUGAACGCUGGCGGCGUGCCUACCCCAUGCAAGUCGAGCGAAGCACUUACUUUAGAUUUCUUCGGAAUGACGAAGUUUGUGACUGAGCGGCGGACGGGUGAGUAACGCGUGGGCAACCUGCCCUGUACAGGGGGAUAACAGUUAGAAAUGACUGCUAAUACCGCAUAAGCCCACAGCUUCGCAUGAAGCAGUGGGAAAAACUCCGGUGGUACAGGAUGGGCCCGCGUCUGAUUAGCUAGUUGGUAAGGUAACGGCUUACCAAGGCGACGAUCAGUAGCCGACCUGAGAGGGUGACCGGCCACAUUGGGACUGAGACACGGCCCAAACUCCUACGGGAGGCAGCAGUGGGGAAUAUUGCACAAUGGGGGAAACCCUGAUGCAGCGACGCCGCGUGAGCGAUGAAGUAUUUCGGUAUGUAAAGCUCUAUCAGCAGGGAAGAAAGUGACGGUACCUGACUAAGAAGCCCCGGCUAACUACGUG